UUUGGCUGGUACGGUUCCGUUCUGUUCCGCCUUGGCGCCCUUGGCCGCGGGGGCAAUGUUUUUGUUUUCGUUCUACGUUCAGGUGUUGGGUGGCGACGUAUUAACCGUCGAUAACCAGCUGAAGCAGCUCAAGUUCUCUAGUGGAACGAGGUUGACCGUGCGCAGUGGCAGCCGUUGACAACAAAAACAAUGUAUGCACUCAGCUUCGCCGGAUGAGUGCCGGCGUCGAUCGCGAACCGCCAGAGCCGCCAAAUACCUCUCGUACAUCUCCAAGAACACCAAGAACAGGAGGUAUUCAUAAAGGUCUGAACCACGCGAGGAUCGUCUCGAAGCAUGGUAGCCUCAACAGACGCUUGCCGCCACACGCGAGGAGAAAGCAGGAGGCCCGAAGUUUGAAUGUGAAGAGGAGGUGCGAAGAGCUGGCCCUCACUUUUUCAAGGCAGCCGCAGAACACUACGAGCCCCGAAUCACUGCCGCGGCUGACUCACGCGGAUGCUGUGCUGCACCCUGCACUGCACAUGGUUCGAAGCACACUUCAGGGGACCAGUGCAUGCCCCUGAUGCAUCGUCGCGGUAUGUUUUGUACUGCUUUUCCUAGCGGUGCACUGAGCAGUCCAAUCUUGAAGGGAGCACGCGAGUGCGUAGCCAGUGCUCCAUGCAGCAAGGACCGCAAGCACUCGCGGAAGCUUGGAGCACACGCAGUGACGCCAGCAGCCGUGCACGCUGGCGUCGUCUGCUACUGUACCGUCCUUUCGUUCGGUGCGCAGAAAAAAAAAGGAGUGACCGCUCUGUUAAAAGUCUGAUGGUGAAGGCAUCCUUUACAGAAGCACUGUAUGGCUCUCUGCACGCUAGAAUGGGGGCUGUCGUUGAUGCUCGCAGAGGCGUCGCCCACAACUAAGCAGACGAUCAAAGUCCUGAGCAGGUGACUAAUCGUUUCAUUGUUCUUUGGUAGGGAAAGGUAGAUAAUGUGCUUCU
rnacentral:misc_RNA from 1 species